UGCGCCUACGGGUACCUGCCACCCCUAUUCCCCCGACCUGGAGAAGGAGUCUUCCUGCCCCUCGGUCCAAGCCCUGAUCCGUCGUUGUCGACGCACCUGGACCCGGGCGCGCUCUGCUCUCUCAAGGGCUGCAGAUCGCCACGCUUCUGCUGCCAACAAGCACCGCACGCCGGCUCCUGCCUACCGUCUUGGCCAGAAAGUCUGGCUCUCCACCCACCCGUCUCAAGGUGGAGAGUCGCAAGCUGGCUCCCAAGUUCAUUGGACCAUUCCCCAUAAUCCGCAUCAUUAACCCUGUGGCGGUACGCCUUCAGCUUCCUCGCUCCAUGAGGAUCCAUCCCACCUUCCAUGUCUCCAGGGUCAAACCUGUCCAGGAGAGCCCUCUGGCUCCUCCCGUUCCGCCCCCUCCUCCCCCUCAGCUCGUCGACGGGGGUCCGGUGUUCACCGUCCGGCGUCUCCUCCGCUCCCGCCGCCGUGGACGUGGGGUCCAGUAUCUGGUGGACUGGGAGGGGUACGGUCCGGAGGAGCGCUCCUGGAUCCCAGCUCGCUUCAUCAUGGACCCCAGCCUUAUCUCUGACUUCCACCGAUCCCAGCCUGACCAACCUGCCCCGUCAUCCCGCCAGCCCGCUACGGUUCCACCGGCGAGUGGUUUCUCUGACAGAAGGGACUCCGAUGUCGCGUCCUCCUCCUCUUUGGAGGACGCAAUCUCUGAGGCCUCGGAGGAAUUCUAACCCUCCUCCGGGCCCCCUCCACCCUCCCUGUUUGGUUUAGGACGUCUGGAGCCGUCCCUUGCCGGGGGGGUGCUUUCCCGCGAUUCUACUCCUGACCUACCACCGCUCCUGCCUGCUCUCUGAUCCCUGCCUGUCUGACUAUUCUCCCGGUUCCUGAUCCCUGUCUGACUCUCCUUCUGGUUCCUGAUCCUCGCCUGUCUGACUCUCCUGCCGGUUCCUGAUCCCUGCCUGUCUGACUCUCCUUCUGGUUCCUGAUCCUCGCCUGUCUGACUCUCCUGCCGGUUCCUGAUCCCCGCCUGUCUGACUACCCCGUUGGUUCCUGAUCCCUGCUUGUCUGACUACUCGCCUGUCUACGAAAUAAACUAUUGACUCUGUUCCACGCUCGUCGCCAGCCUGUGCACUUGGGUUCAGCCAAACGCGCACGUUACAAUGUCACACU
ensembl:lncRNA